CCCGUCUUGCUCAUCAGGAUUCCCAACUCACACACAGGCAGAGCUGUAGACCGGAAUUGGUGGAACCACUCUGGAAAACAGGACAAAGAUUCCUCACAAAAUUCAAUAUAGACCUACCAUAGGAUCCAGCAAUUCCAUUUCUGUGUGUUGAUCUGAACAAAAUGGAAACACUAACCGGAAAAGAUACGUGCACCCCUAGGUUCAUGGCACCAUUAUUUACAACAGCCACAAGAUAGAAACAACCUAAGCGUCCGUCAGUGGAUAAACUGGUAAUACCAGGACGACAGGUGGAUGUCAGAGCCAGAAGCUGAACAGCGCCACCAAGCUGACAGGCUGCUUCAGUGGUAGCUAAAUCCCAUGCCCAUGUUUAUUUUUAAUUUCAUUUUAAUCCAAGCAGUAAAUAUAUAUAAUGUUGAAGAGUUAGUUGCUACUGCAAACUGGACCCUACGACAAGGCUUAUAAAAAGAACCUCCCGUGCUACCCCCAGUCACAGCCAUGAAGCAAUAACUCAUUCUGUAGUUAUCUCUUCAAACCUGAUUAUGGGGUCACUUCCAAGAUCUUUUCAUUUUAGGCUUUUUGUAUUGAUCUGCAGCUACGGAGGAAAAGAAUUUCGUUUUCCUCUCUCUCGCUCUCUCUCACUCUCUCUUUCUCUACACACACACACACACACACACACACACACACACACACCCUCUCCAAUUUUCCCCAAAUAAUUACAUCAUAAUUUUUGGUUAAAUCAAUGUGCUGUUUUCACAUUAUAAUGGCAAUGUAAUAUUAUCUCCAGCUAAGUGUUGAUGCUUAUGAUAAUUACAACGUUUUUCUUAUG